AUGAACGCUGGCGGCGUGCCUAAUACCUGCCAGUCGAGCGAACAGAUGAGGAGCUUGCUCCUCUGACGUUAGCGGCGGACGGGUGAGUAACACGUGGAUAACCUACCUAUAAGACUGGGAUAACUUCGGGAAACCGGAGCUAAUACCGGAUAAUAUAUUGAACCGCAUGGUUCAAUAGUGAAAGACGGUUUUGCUGUCACUUAUAGAUGGAUCCGCGCCGCAUUAGCUAGUUGGUAAGGUAACGGCUUACCAAGGCAACGAUGCGUAGCCGACCUGAGAGGGUGAUCGGCCACACUGGAACUGAGACACGGUCCAGACUCCGACGGGAGGCAGCAGUAGGGAAUCUUCCGCAAUGGGCGAAAGCCUGACGGAGCAACGCCGCGUGAGUGAUGAAGGUCUUCGGAUCGUAAAACUCUGUUAUUAGGGAAGAACAAAUGUGUAAGUAACUAUGCACGUCUUGACGGUACCUAAUCAGAAAGCCACGGCUAACUACGUG
rnacentral:rRNA from 1 species